AGCUUUGCAAAUCAACCUCUCGAUGAAUGAUGAUGGCACCAGUGAAAUCAGGGAGGCAGGAAAUCAUGUUAGUUUGGUUUAUAAUGCAAGAAGUUACAGAAUACAGAGUGCUCAAAACUAAGAACGUGCUUCUUGGGACUCAGCCAGGAUUCAAACUAUAAAGGAAAAUCGGAAAUUGGACCUUUGAGGACCAGCUGGGACUUGGGAAUACAGAAAGAAGUCCUUCAACUCAACAACAAAAAGACAAACAACCCAAAGAAUUGUCGAAGGAUUUGAAUAGUCAACACUCCAAAGAAGAUAUAUAAAUGGCCAGUAAGCACCUGAAGAGAUGCUCAACAUCACUAAUCAUUAGGAAAAUGAAAAUCAAAACCACAGUGAGAUAUCACUUCAUACAGCUCUGUCUACUGAAAACGCCAAAUAACAAAAUCAACACAACAGCAAUAAGCAGCCUAGCCUAGUACCUAAGUUGUCUCUAAGUACCAUUUCCCCAGGAAAAAAAAACUAAGAACUCUUAAAGAAGGGUGCAUUUCAAGAUCUGAGCAGGAAAUAUAUAGGACAAUCCUGGAAUAUCUUGUUAUAGAAAGAGAAAAGCCUCUUAUGAGGUCCACUAGAACCAUGCCAGAUGAGUUCAGGAGGCACCUUGUUAAUCUCCCAUUUACCAAGGAUGGGACCAUUUGAACAUCAAUAAAAAUAACUGCAACAAUUUGAAGUACAGAAAAUAUGUUUACUCCCAUGAGUCCAUAAUAAUACUUUUUAA